rnacentral:misc_RNA from 1 species
GAUGAAGAACGUAGCGAAAUGCGAUAAGUAAUGCGAAUUGCAGAAUUCAGCGAGUCAUCGAAUCUUUGAACGCACAUUGCGCCCCCUGGUAUUCCGGGGGGCAUGCCUGUCCGAGCGUCAUUGCUGCCCUCAAGCACGGCUUGUGUGUUGGGCCUCCGUCCUCCUCCCGGGGGACGGGCCCGAAAGGCAGCGGCGGCACCGCGUCCGGUCCUCGAGCGUAUGGGGCUUCGUCACCCGCUCUUGUAGGCCCGGCCGGCGCUUGCCGACACAUCAAUCUUUUUUCCAGGUUGACCUCGGAUCAGGUAGGGAUACCCGCUGAACUUAAGCAUAUCAAUAAGCGGAGGA